AUCGUUUCUCGACCUUUUGGCUAGGAUCAAGUGUAGAAUCCGUUCCUGUCAGUUUAAUAUCAGAUACGUCUUCGAUCCAAGAACAAUAUAUUAAAUGGGUUUUGGGAGCUGGGAGUUGGAAUAGGAGCUUUCUCCAUGGGGUCCACGCAUCGAUCUGGUAUUGCAGUACCUCCAGGAAUGGUGCACCCCCU